UAACGAGUUGUUUAAAUUUACGAAACCAUUUUCGUAUUUUUUAACUCGCUUCGUUCGUUGAAAUUAGUUACAACCUUCAAAUUUUAGAUGAUGUUUUGUGGUUACUCCGAUUUUGGUGUUGUGACAUUUUCCAGUACAAACUAUUGAAGUUUGUAAUAUUUGUAAUGUUGGUGGCCAACACAGUGCUUAUGGUACUUCAAGGAUAUCAUUUUCUUAUCAAUUUCAACAGCCUUUACUUCAUAUCGUAUUCACCUUACUGGUUUGGAUCAUUUUUUGUAAUAUACAUUCGAAAAACUUGAGUGCAUCAUAAUAUUUUAAAUUACAAUUGAAAAUUUGUAGAUCAUUCUCUCACUUACAACGUGUUUAACUAUAUCAAACAUUGGACCUGAAGGAAUUGAAUCAGCAACGCUGUGGCAAAUAAAAUCCACUGAUCCAAAAUUAAUCAAUCGAAUCAAAUUUCAAGUUAAAUUAAUCACAGCUUACAUCAUUGUUAACACAGUUAUUGCACUAAUUGCUGGUCUUGCCCACACUUUUCCAUCAAAAAAUGCAGAAGAGAUAUGUUAUGUGUACAAAAUCAUUGAAAUUUAUGUUCCAAAAUGGAAAACUGAACUUUGUUGGAUGUAUAAAGCGAGCUACAUUGUUAUGGCACUUGCACUACCAGCCACCUGCAACCAAGUGGUGUACGGGGCAACUCACAUACGAUUUCAGUUCUAUUUGGUUUUGGACUGGAUAAGGAACAACAUUAUUGAAACGGGUUGCGAUGAUUUAAAAUUGCCCAACGACAAGGAUUUUCAGCACAAAAUUACAAAAAACAUUAUUGUUAUUGUAAAACGUUACACAGAAUUUCACAGAACUUUUCAAGCAGUUAACCAGCGAAUAGCAAUUUAUAUAUUGUUGUAUGCUGUUAUUGGAGGGUUGCUUGGCAUAAGCAUCCUUAUGUUCUAUUUUAAGGUUGUUUCCUUUGUUUUAGUUUAAUUUUUUAACGCAAUGAUUCAAUUUUCAGACACUCUAGUGAUAAGUGACUAUCUUCACGCUGGUACUUUAACAGUAGCAGCAAUUACUACAUUUAUGGCAACAGUAACAUCUGGACAGAAACUAGAGGAUAUUGUAUGUAAUAAAACUACAAGGGCGAAAAAUAUUUUUUCUAAUCUCGUUACCAAAUGUCACUUAUUAACGGCCGAGGUUAAAAUUAAACUGCGGGAAUGCAUUUUCAAUUUACGAAGGAAAUAGUAAAAACAUUGUAAUACAUGAAAAGCCUGUUAUUGUUUAACUCGCUGCGCUCACUCGUUUUGGCAAACAUUGUGCUCGUUAAACAAAAACAGUCUUUUCACAACUAUUGCAUUCUAGUUUGAAGAACUUCUCUACACAUGGUGCUCGGUUCCUUGGUAUUUGUUCAACAAAUGGAAUAAACAAAUUUACCUCAUGAUUAUGGUUAAUAUCAAACCGAUCAACUUUCGAUUCACGGAAAAUUCCAGCGUCAACUACAACUUAGGAGCAGCAAUUGCGAAAACAAUAUAUUCGAUGUUAUCUCUUCUUACACAAAUGAGUGACAAGGAUGUCAGUACUUUGUGAUCAAUGAAAUAACAAACACAGUACACACUAUUGUUAGUUCCUGUUUUUGCAAUAAAGAGAUCGACACUUGACCUGUUACUUAAAAUCAAUUAAAUUACACCAAAAAUAUGCAA